AACUUUUGACAACGGAUUUCUUGGCUCUCGCAACGAUGAAGAACGCAGCGAAAUGCGAUACGUAUCAUGAAUUGCAGAACUGUGAAUGAAAAAUGUUUGAACGCACCUUGCGCCAGCCUUUGGCUGGCAUGUCUGUCUGAGAAUCUUA
rnacentral:rRNA from 1 species